CUCAACGCCUUCAACUUGGGAGAAUGAUCUUGUACCUGACUCAGCACUUUAAUACCGAACACCAGCUUAAAGACGUCCGCCAGUUUAUGAACGACAAUGAUGUAACAAUCGCUGAGACUACAUUCCGACAAGUGUUGGAGCAGACGACGCUCAAUAUACAAUGGAUAAGCAAGUACUUGGACGACAUCAAAACCUGGCUGGAAACUGCAUAAUACUACCCACAUCAGACAUAAACAUAGAUACUUUUUUAACGAAUGAUUCAGAAUCAAACAACAAUGUUCGAAUCAUUGAACAACCUCAAUGUUUUAAUCCCAGAAUUCCAACUGAGGAAUUACAAAUAAACAAACCACUCAGUGGGUCUGCUGCUGGAAUAUGAGAACAGCUCUCAAUGACAACAAAUAUUCCUGCAUAACAAUAGAUAAUCAGUGUUUCCAAUCUCAUGAUUGUUGACACUAAGUGUUUCAUAGAAGUAGUUUGUGAUGUUAGGCGCUAAGAAAUUUUAACAUACUUUAAUAUCUGGACCUGAGAGAUUAUGGUGGUUUAUAAAACUCUUAAUCGAAAAACAAGGGAAAAACAACGAUAAUGUUAAAAUUAUUUCAAAUAUUCAAAGCAUCUUAUAGCUUAGCUGAUUGGCCCACAUCUUAGCCAAUGGUGUCGUCAGUGUUUUACAUAGCGCACCCGUGUACAGACCAACGUGCCUUAACGACAGAGAGGAUUUUUUAUACAGAACUUUUGUGUACAGAUUUAUCAGUCGUGUAAAUAUUGAGGAUAUGGUAUUGCCACAGAUUGAAGUUGUUGAAACGUGCUGGUAAAGAAAGUUUGGAGUUCUAUUUGUAUAAGCAAUUUUUUCCAAUGCAAGCUUUCAAGGAAAUCACGAAACCUAAAAACUGACAAUGUUUUAAAUUAUUUUGAAAAUGUAAAGAGAUGGAACAUUAUUUUUUUAAAUGUUGUUGAAUGAUUCAUAUCAAGAAGUGUCAAUCAAAGCAACACAAAACACGUUUAUUUUCAGAAUCGAUUUCGGAAGAUUUUACUUUUUAUCUUUUUUGCGAAGAAGGACGGAAAUGUUUUACAUGUGAAAACUAAAUUUAUGUGUAAGUAAAAUCCAUUUUCUCUAAGAUCAAAGUUAUUUUCAUAGUCAGAUUUUUAUCUGAAAGUUUGAAAUAAAAACACACCUGAUUUUGUCUAAAAA